AACGCACAUUGCGCCCCUUGGUAUUCCGAGGGGCAUGCCUGUUCGAGCGUCAUUUUGACCACUCAAGCCUGGCUUGGUAUUGGGGUACGCGGUCCCGCGGCCCCUAAAAUCAGUGGCGGUGCCGUCUGGCUCUAAGCGUAGUAAUUUUCUCGCUAUAGUGUCUAGGUAGUGGCUUGCCAACAACCCCCAACUCUCACGGUUGACCUCGGAUCAGGUAGGGAUACCCGCUGAACUUAA
rnacentral:misc_RNA from 1 species